UACGGAGGGGGCUAGCGUUGUUCGGAAUUACUGGGCGUAAAGCGCACGUAGGCGGCUUUGUAAGUUAGAGGUGAAAGCCCAGGGCUUAACCCUGGAAUUGCCUUUAAGACUGCAUCGCUAGAAUUGUGGAGAGGUAAGUGGAAUUCUGAGUGUAGAGGUGAAAUUCGUAGAUAUUCGGAAGAACACCAGUGGCGAAGGCGGCUCACUGGCCCGAUACUGACGCUGAGGCACGAAAGCGUGGGGAGCAAACAGG
rnacentral:rRNA from 1 species